rnacentral:rRNA from 1 species
UACGUAGGGUCCGAGCGUUGUCCGGAGUUACUGGGCGUAAAGCGCGCGCAGGCGGCGGUGCUGGCCCGGCGUGAAAGCCCCCGGCUCAACCGGGGAGGGUCGUCGGGGACCGCACCGCUUGAGGGCGGCAGAGGGGGAUGGAAUUCCGCGUGUAGCAGUGAAAUGCGUAGAUAUGCGGACGGAAGCACCGAUGGCGAAGGCAAUCCCCUGGGCCUGCACUGACGCUCAUGCACGAAAGCGUGGGGAGCAAACAGG